GAUGAACGCUGGCGGCGUGCCUAAUACAUGCAAGUCGAGCGAACAGACGAGGAGCUUGCUCCUCUGACGUUAGCGGCGGACGGGUGAGUAACACGUGGAUAACCUACCUAUAAGACUGGGAUAACUUCGGGAAACCGGAGCUAAUACCGGAUAAUAUAUUGAACCGCAUGGUUCAAUAGUGAAAGACGGUUUUGCUGUCACUUAUAGAUGGAUCCGCGCCGCAUUAGCUAGUUGGUAAGGUAACGGCUUACCAAGGCAACGAUGCGUAGCCGACCUGAGAGGGUGAUCCGCCACACUGGAACUGAGACACGGUCCAGACUCCUAAGGGAGGCAGCAGUAGGGAAUCUUCCGCAAUGGGCGAAAGCCUGACGGAGCAAAGGCGCGUGAGUGAAGAAGGUCUUCGGAUCGUAAAACUCUGUUAUUAGGGAAGAACAAAUGUGUAAGUAACUAUGCACGUCUUGACGGUACCUAAUCAGAAAGCCACGGCUAACUACGUG
rnacentral:rRNA from 1 species